rnacentral:rRNA from 1 species
UACGGGGGGGGCUAGCGUUGCUCGGAAUCACUGGGCGUAAAGGGUGCGUAGGCGGGUCUUUAAGUCAGGGGUGAAAUCCUGGAGCUCAACUCCGGAACUGCCUUUGAUACUGAAGAUCUUGAGUUCGGGAGAGGUGAGUGGAACUGCGAGUGUAGAGGUGAAAUUCGUAGAUAUUCGCAAGAACCCCAGUGGCGAAGGCGGCCCACUGGCCGAUACUGACGCUGAGGCACGAAAGCGUGGGGAGCAAACAGG